AGGGAGAAGAGAGUGGCUGACUACAGAGCUCCCAGGGUUCGCCAGCUACCCUGACCUUCAAGAAUGAGUCAAGUACCAGCUCCUGGGCCCUAGGACAGUCUUCACCCGAGAUCCUGUCAAGGACUCUGAGCUGCACCUAGAUGGACAUCCUCGGGUCUGGAAGCUCAACAGGGUGUUGGACUAAAGGAGGAAGGGAGCCCGAAGAAGAUACAGGUCGGAACCUGGGGUCCAAGGAAGCCCAGGAAACUAGUCCCUCGGUGAGUCCGGCACCAGACCCCGCCAGUGUUCCAACCCACCAGCUCUCCGCAGCAA